UACGAAGGGGGGCUAGCGUUGCUCGGAAUCACUGGGCGUAAAGCGCACGUAGGCGGCUUUUUUAAGUCAGGGGUGAAAUCCUGGAGCUCAACUCCAGAACUGCCUUUGAUACUGAGAAGCUUGAGUCCCGGGAGAGGUGAGUGGAACUGCGAGUGUAGAGGUGAAAUUCGUAGAUAUUCGCAAGAACACCAGUGGCGAAGGCGGCUCACUGGCCCGGUACUGACGCUGAGGUGCGAAAGCGUGGGGAGCAAACAGG
rnacentral:rRNA from 1 species